GGAAGGUUCACACAGCCUCUGUAGUUCUGUCUCUGUUUUCUGCAUUUGUCCUAGUCCCCUCUCCCCCGCUGACCGACCUGUACCAGGCCGGUGAGGAGGUGUGGUACCAGAACUACGAACUGCCUCAUUAACCCCGGCACAUCCGGACCUGUCUGUCUGUAGUCAGCGACUGACACUCUAUAACCGAAUAGGGUCGGGAGCGGCAGCACUGACUGAAUUCUCGGUGCAUGGUCGGCACAUUUGUCAUCCGGGACAGCACUGAACACCGUCCGGUAUCAACAUCAGAGCAGAGGAUCCGCCCUGUGGACAGGCAGCAGCUUGUACACAGAAAAUCGCGCUGUGAGUCUCACAGAACAGCGACACCGGGCCCUCCCCCAUAGAUAAUAAAUAUCUGUCGCUGCACUGGCUGGAAUGAAGUUAGCAGAAAACCACUCGAAAAUAUAUCGACACGGAGACUGAACAUUCUUGGUGAAUUGAGGAACUUUUGAUAAAUGUCAAAAGUUGAAUAAUUCCCCAAGAACAGUCCAACAGCGUUUUGACGUCAUUGCAAACUGCCACAUACACUUUCUUCACAACUGCUGAAAUCAAAUAGAACCGAUUCGACAAAUCACUUUCAAUGGAGUGUGAACAAACUCACUUUAAUAUUGUAUGUAACCAUUUCUGCUGAAGUGUAGAAUGAUAGAGCCUUUAAUGUGAAAUAAAGAAAAUGAACUAGGGUCUCGAACCUGUAACGUUACCAGUUAAAUUUGCUGCCCUGUUUUCCGUGAGUUUACAAAAUUUUACAAAUUUUACAAAAAGAGGAAGGGCAGGGUGAGUGUGUGGAAGUUGGAAGCUGGAGAGGGGGAAACUGAACUUAUGUGGGGGAAGAAUAAAUCAAGGAAGGUAGUGCACCCGUGGCUGACAAGAGAAAUUAUGGAUAGUAUCAAUUCCAAAGAAGAAGCAUACAAAUUAGCCAGAGAAAGUGGCUCACCUGAGGACUGGGAGAAAUUCAGAGUCCAGCAGAGGAGGACAAAGGGCUU